rnacentral:lncRNA from 1 species
AGGGAACCCGAACCCGAACCCGAGAACGAACGAUGGAACAAGGAAACGACGCCGUUUGCGACUCUGUAAAUGACAGGAUACCACCACCACCCUAUUCGUCAACAGCCCGCCUGGAGCAUCCCAUAAUUUCCAUGGUGCUUCCAGCCUGUUGGUAGUAUCACCACCACCAUCAUUGUUUGAUAGAUAGCAAUAAUUUGCUGCUGCUGCUGCUGUUGGUUGUUGUUGUCGUCGUCGUCGUCGGUCGGCGUGUGCGCGUUAGGGCCAAGUCCUAGCUUCGUGGUGAUUAAUUUAGAGGUGGUCAAGAUUCAACAUAUUUAUGUUUCUUUAUUACCUUCCCGCUGGGACUUGGCAAACUUUUUUUCCGAGACUUUGCUGUAAUUUUCUCUCCUCUCUUUGUUUGUUGCAACCUCUGGAUCUGCUUGUUCAACAACAGAAAGUUGAUGAAAGUAACUUCCAGUAUAAAAUUCCAGCCUCCUUGGUUAUAGAUAUUCUUGCAUUGCUUCGGUAUCGAUGUAUAUGAACUGUGAUUGUACAAGAAAUGGCCUUCUUUGGAAGAGAAAUCAUGUAAAUUUCAUAAAAAAUGCUGUGGCUGUUGCCAGUAAAACCAAAACGAUUUUUUUGUCCGUUAGAACAGAGGAAUAACAUUUUUUUACCAUUAUUAAAAAUAUUUAUACAGCUGAAUAUGUUUUAAAUUUUUUGACAUGAAAACAGUUUUUAAAAGUUGAUUCCUUAUUCGCUAGAAAAGUCCACGGAAGUAAAAUAACCCUGUACCUGUUGCCACGCGUGUCACUGGCAGGUGGGACCAGCAUGUCAGCCGUCCCCGUCGUUUUCACUUUACCCCAGAACGGAGUAAAAAUCACGCCUGGCCUCCACGCUCGAGGAGGAUUGACGGAGUGACGACUCUCUGACUAACCCUAGCCUAGCCGCCUAGGGAGCGAGCGGGGAGGCGGCCGGAGCCGGAGCCGGAGAUGGAGGUGGUGGCGCUGGUGAGCGGCGGCAAGGACAGCUGCUUCUCCAUGAUGCGCUGCCUCGACUACGGCCACAAGGCAGGGCCCGACCCCCCCACCCCGUCCAGUCCAGUAAUCUCGUCGGCGUUUCCGCCCUUGCUGAACCUCGCCGCUAAUCUGCCCGCAGGUCGUCGCCCUGGCCAACCUCGUCCCCCUCGACGACGCCGUCGACGAGCUCGACAGCUACAUGUACCAGACCGUACGGCCCGCCCUCCCCGCUCCCGCGCCACAUGUUUUUUUUCUUCUUCCUCUCCGCGCCGUGUGAUGAAUGUGGUCUCUGUUUUCUGAAAUUUGCUGGUUGCUUGUGGUCUUUGGGGAUCUAGGUCGGGCACCAGAUCGUGGUCUGCUACGCCAAAUGCAUGGGCCUGCCCCUGUUCCGCCGCCGCAUCAGCGGAUCCACAAGGCAACAUAUCUGUCCUCAGCUUUUUGUUCCCCCAAAUGUCAUAGCUCUAUUGGGAUGAAUUUGAUGUGACUUCGCUCAAUCGGCCAUUGUUGUCCGCAGGGAUCAUGCUCUCAAAUACAGUGUCACCGCGGGAGACGAGGUGGAGGACAUGUUUGCCCUGUUGAGCGAGGUGAAGCGGCGAAUUCCGUCUAUUGGCGCCGUGUCAUCGGGCGCCAUCGCCUCCGAUUACCAGAGGCUCCGGGUCGAGAGCGUCUGCUCGAGGCUGGGCCUGGUCUCGCUCGCCUACAUGUGGAGGCAGGACCAGACUCUGCUUCUCGAAGAAAUGGUAAAAUGUGAAGAGUUCAGUUUUUCUGUUCCUCUUUCGGCAGAUUGCCUGGUCUGGCAGAAACUGUUUGCUCACGUUGUCACUUUUGUUCUGAUCUUUAUCCCUACAGAUAAGAAGGGGCAUCGUGGCUAUAACAGUCAAGGUAUACAGUGCCGUUUUCUUCAACUUGCUUGCAUCAUUGCAUUUGUCUCUUUGGAACAAGUGGUUGAUCCUAUGGCGUUUAUAGGUGGCUGCAAUGGGGUUGAAACCUUCUGUCCACUUGGGGAAAGAACUGGCUGAACUAAAGAGCCAUCUGCUCCAAAUGAAUGAGUACGUUCCUAACUCCUUUCUAUCCAUGCCUUUUGGCCUUUAGGACAUUUCAUGUUAGAAAGAGUGGCUUCUCGUCCCUUCUGAGUGGUUAUGGGCUUGAAUGAGCAAGGGGAUUAAUUUCAUGUAGUGAUCAAUGAGCGAGUAUGGUUUCUGAAAGUACAUCGCUAUUGCAGUCAUGGAUACGAAUGCUAGUUUUUGCCUCUUAUUGUCCUCAAAAAGUAGUUGGCUGGUACACCCUCUGUUUUUAUUUACUUUGCACAUUAGCUUUGUCCUAAGUCAAACUUUAUAAUGUUUGACCAAGCUUAUAAAAAAACAAUAUGAACAUUUACAUUAACAAAUAUAUAUGAUGUGAAAAUAUAUUCAAUGAUGAAUCUAACGGUACUAAUUUGGUAUUGUAGAUGUUAAUAAUUUUUCUAUAAACCUGGUCAAAACAAGGUUUGACUUGAGACAAAAGCUAAUCUGCAGAGUAAAUAAAAAGGGAGGGAGUAAAACUUAGUUUGUCUAGCUCUUGGUUGUAUGAUGGAUUGACUGUGAAUAUUACUUCCCCCAUUAGGUCUUAUGUUUAGUGUUGGUGAACUGGCUAGUAAUGUUUUGUUGGUUCCUGGAAGCAAACUCUGUUUUGUCAGGAAUAGAAAUGGGAGUCUCCUGUAAUGAAAGAAAUGUACCACAGUUUGUUCCUCUCUGCAUGUCUUAUUCUCAUUGAUCUCUAUGUAAAUGCUGGUCUUUUGCUCGCAUAUAUUUUCAUCUUGUAAUUUAUCUUCUUUGUUUAUCCUAUUAGGAGUUUUGGAAUCAAUGUCUGUGGUGAAGGUGGAGAGUACGAAACACUAACUCUUGACUGCCCUCUAUUUCGUGUAAGUUUGAGGAGCUGACUGAAAACAUCAUGACACUUGUUUUAGAAUGCUAGGUAGACCGUCAUCAUGACCACUUUCCACGCCAUGUUGGCACUGUCCAUACUAACAUGUUCAUCAGAGAUGCCUGCUGAGUUUUCUUAUGCACAGUAAUGUUCUCCUACCAGUAAACACCAGCAGUUGAAUUUUCUGCACUAUAAUAUGCUAUGUUUGCAGAAUGCAAGGAUUGUCCUUGAUGAUUUUGAAGUGAUACUCCACUCUGCUGAUUCCAUUGCUUCAGUUGGAAUUCUUCAUCCGCUGGCAUUUCAUGUUGAGCCCAAGCCAGGUUCAUCUAGCAGCAUUGGGGAUGGUGUUAUUGCUCAAGAGAAUUCUAGUUGCUUGUACGAAGUAAAUGGAGCUAUUGCACACACUGAUGCGGAAGACAAACAGACCUUGAAUCCGACACCAACUUAUGAUGCUUACCCAAAUACAAAUUUACACAUUUCAAAGACAGGGAAGUCUUUGUUUUCCAUUGGUUGUUGGAUAGAAGAACCCUCUAGUGCUUCGCAAGGUGCAUACUCCCGUGCUACUUAUUUCCAUGUUAUUGAACUGUUCAUAAUUCUCUGCCUGGUAGGAGUACCUUAUGUUCUAUUUCAUCUUGCUUUGUUGGACACUCACUUACAAUUCCAUUACGUCAAUAGGCAUGAAGGCAGAUCUAGUCAAAGUUUUGAGCAGAAUCGAGAAUCAGCUCAAGGACGGAGGGUUAAGUUGGGCAAAUGUUGUAUAUGUUCACCUCUACAUUUCAAGCAUGAAGGAAUUUGGAUUAGCCAAUGAAGUUUAUGUCAGCUUCAUCACAGAACAGAAAUGUCACCUUGGUGUUCCUUCGCGCAGUACAAUUGAAUUACCACUUGUUCAGGCUGGUUUAGGCCAUGCAUAUGUGGAGGUUCUAGUGUCAAAUGAUCUGGUCAAAAGAGUUCUGCAUGUACAAAGCAUCUCAUGCUGGGCUCCUAGUUGCAUCGGACCUUAUAGCCAGGUAAAAGAACACUCCAUGAUAAUGCCAUGAAUUCAUAUUAAAAGCUGUCUGUAGACUAGUUGCUGUCUGCAGAGCGCAGACUAGUUGCCGGUAUAUUCAGUUGGCAAAGAGUGUUCACAUAUGAUUACACUGGGACAUGAAAUUUCUUUCUAAUGUCUUUCAGGCAACACUCUAUGGAGAGAUUCUCUAUAUGGCCGGUCAGCUCGGGCUUGAUCCCCCUACGAUGAAGCUCUGUCCUGGAGGUGCAACAGCUCAACUGGAACUAGCACUGCGUAAUAGUGAAGCUGUGGCUAAUGCCUUCAAGAGCUCUAUCUUCUCUUCAGCAAUACACUUUCUCGUGUACUGCUCUGCCCACCUGACAUCCACUGAGAAGGAAGCAGUUGAACAAAAACUGCAGAACUCAUAUAUUGCUCAUUUGGAUUCUGCAAGAAGUGGAUCGUAUCCUACUAUUCUAUAUGUACUAGCACCGGAUCUUCCAAAAGGGUAAGCAUAUUUUUCUUCUAUCUUUUUUAUCAGCAAGAAAACCCGUGUCAUCUGGAUAAACAUGUUUGGUGAUGCCAUGCUGAAAUUUAUAAGAAAUAUGUGUUCCCAUUUUUUCAGAGCGUGCGUGGAGAUAAAACCAAUAUUGUAUGUCCCUGCUGAUGACUACAACGAUAAUGAUGAUGAUGGAGAUAUUACCAGAGAGCCGGAGGCCGGAGGGUCAAAGCCAUCACCGAGCAAAGUCCUGAGUGAGUGGAGCGCACAAUACUCUGCCUUGCACGACUCAUGCUGCCUGGUCAACACGGUCGCUGGGAAGAUUUGCUCUGCUGUGGUUUCAGUCACGAAUGACAUCGCAUCAAAGAUCUGUCCCAGCACCGAACAAUCACACCCCUCAAAGGAGCAUUUGAAAGCCAUAGCCAGAUUCUGCGCUUUCCAGCUGGCAAAGACCCUGGCAGACAACGGCUUCUCCUGGGACGACGUGACGGUAAGUCUCAGGCCCGUGAUUCCUUUUCGCAGCCGCACCGGUCCCGCCUCCUAAAUCAGCAUUACUGAAUUCAUCUAUACCCGCAGAUGCUGAGGUUCUACUAUUCGGUGAAGCAGGCGGCGGCAGCGGACGCGAUGUCCCGCGCGUUCCACGAGGCCUUCGCCGAGCUCGGAGGAGCCGCCGGGGCGCCCGUCUUCAACCUCAUCCCAGUCUCGGGGUCCGGUCGCUCCGCGUCGAUGGAUGACGUUGUCACGUGCGAGCUACUAGCUUCCAAGGCUUAAGCCAAGAAGAAGAAGCUUGGCCUGCACUUGUCAGCUUCCAAAGCUAAAGCCAAAACCUGGGCCUGCACCUUGGUCGAUCACGCUCGCCGGAAUGAACGCAUCUUUCGUUGCAAGAUCGGAGGCAAGCAGUAGGACGAUUAUCCGCCGGCGCCGUGUCAAGCUGGACGGCGGAUGACAGACCAGGCGCCUUGUUGUUGUUAGUACCUGUGAUGGUGAUUUUGGUUUAUUGUUAUUAUUAUAUGAUGAUCAAUAUCAAAUAUGUUACAAAGUACACUGGAUCUGGCUGGCCGUGGCUGUGGCUUGUAACGACAUUGGUUGGUUGGCUGGCUCGGUUAGUGGCAUGGGUGUUCGUCGUGUUAACCAAGCACGCACGCACGCACGGCUUAUUAUAUUCACACAAGAUUUUUUUAAAUUAAUUUGUUGCAAAAUCUGGAGUGCCUACCAUUCCGAGGCAAACCUUUUGAUAUCAUCAUCAGAAUAAAUAAAUCUGGAGUGACAAUAUAAGAAUUAACAAGUAGUGUAUCCUCCGCCCAAAUGAUUUGUAAAAAUAUACAAUUAAGCCCAACGGAAAGGAAAUCUUAUCGAAGGCUAUUAUAGUUUAUGAAGAUGAGCAACAACAAUCCUAGCCGCAAGAAACAAAUCAUCGACCAGCUGAUGGAGAAUGCGACGACGAACACACAAGAAAGUAUAAGAAGGAUAUAUAAAUAGUUAUAGUAGGAAUAAAUUGUGUUAGUAGUAAUCGAUUUUCCCUCACAAGAAGAAAAGAAAUAGGAGUAUACAGGAAUGUAUACUAGACUAGACUUGACCAAUUCCAUUGCUGGGAAGUUGUCGACACGCCUUUAUUAUAUUAUAUUAAGUAAAAAAUGAAAAGCAGCUGUGCUUGAUGUUGUAAUAAUGGUAAUUUAAUAAUAAUAAAUAAAGAAAAAGAAAAGGAAAAAGAAAAAGAAAAAGGCGUCCCAUCCAGCAGCUGUGUGCCGUGCUUCUUCUCUCCCCUCGCUCCUCCGUCCUCUCUCUCCCCACUCCCGACCGGACCCGGCCAAAUUUAGCCGUUACACCACCUCUGACCUCUCUCCACAACACACGUCACACACACAGAUCGAUCGAUCGAUCGAGGAGGCGGAGGAGCAUCCCGAUCCUUAUCCGCCCGGCGAUCUUCGUCCGCCGUCCCGGCCCGGCCAGCCGCAAGCCCCGCCGGUCGCCGGCGUCUGGACCGAUCCGUCUCCGAUCUGGUCGAUUGAGGAGGAGGAGGAAGGGGAUCGAGAAGAGGAGGGGCGGGCAAGAUGAUGUUCUUGGCGUGCUGCUACAACGACCCGGACAUGCUCAUCGAUCCGGAGACCAUCUACCCCACCCGCGCCGACUGCACCGACGCCCCCAAGUCCCGCUUCAAGCCCAUGGCACGCACCCACGCGAUCCCCCCCUCCCUCUGCUUCUUUCUUCUCUGCACAUAUCAUCCCUCUUCUCUGCAUCACGAAUUAUCAUCCCCAUCUGGACGCCUAUCUAUGGAUCCCCUGUAGUAUCCAUGUGCACAUUCAGACUCUCAUAGGCUGGCUCUUUUUUUUUUAAUCAUUUGCUCAGAAGCUGAUUGUAUUGUAUUGCAUUGAUCGUCGAGUGCGUUGAUUUAUUGACUGAUUGUCUUGUUGUUGUUUUUUUUACUCUGGCAGCCUCGCCGCACGCUGAGUCCGAGGAGAUGGAAGCUGCUGUUCAACGAGGAGGGCUGCCUCGACGCGGCUGGAAUGAUCAUGAGAGUACAGCGUGGGGUGAGCUAUAUAUAUCUUCCUUUCUCCAGAUUCAUCACCAGCAGCGUUAUUACCCUGGACAACAUUCAGUUCGUAGACUCUGUUGUAGUAUCUUGUGCAUCCCUUCACACUGUUUUCAACCCUUGGGGCAUUUUGGGGCAUUUGUUAGUAUCCCUUGGGGCAUACAUACCGCCUCUAUGCACAUGUUGUGACCCCUCGGUUUAACUGAACCAGGACUUUGUCUUUGUUUUGGUCAUGCCAACAGGGUGUCCACCCAAAUAUCAAAGGAGAAGUUUGGGAGUAUUUGCUGGGUUGUUACGACCCUAAAAGCACUACUGAACAGAGGAACCAGUUGCGGCAACAGAGAAGGUUUUUUUUUUCUUUUUUCAAUCUUCAUUUGCAUCUUACUUUCACCUUAUCAUCUAAGUCCAUUUUCAUUUCAUUACAGUUUCACUUUCCGUUGCGAUUCAUAAUUUUUACUCCCUCUGUAAACUAUUAUAAAAGCGUUUAGAUCACUAUUUUAGUAUUCUAAAUGCUCUUAUAUUAAUUUACGGAGGGAGUACAAUCUAGCAAAGCGCUCACCAACCACCUUUCUUGUUUUUGGUCCUUAUUUUUCCAAGAGUAUCUACUUUAAGCAUAUAGGAUAAUACUUAUGAGUAACUGAGAGUUAAAAUUUCUCAAAUAAAUCACAAGUAGUUUAGAGAUAUGGAGUUCUCUACAAGAAUGGAAGCAGUCUAAAAAAACGAUAGACAUUCAAGCCAUUGUAUCUACAAGUUUCAAUUUGUUGAAAACUGGAUUAAUGUAGUUCUGUCACAUGCUAAGCUGCACCAUAGCAAUGCUGUGCUUCAGGAAGUUCACCAUGCUUUUCACAAAGUUAUAAAUACAGCAUAUAGAUGGGAUGAGGAUUAUACUGAUUUGAAUAUUUUCAUAGGUUAGAAUAUGAGAAACUGAAAACAAAGUGCCGAGAGAUGGACACAACAGUUGGUAGUGGAAGGGUAAUUACUAUGCCUGUCAUAACAGAAGAUGGCCAGCCUAUCGAGGAUCCUAACGCGACUGGAGAACAACCAACCAAUAAUGGACCGCUCACGAAAGAAGUUAUUCAAUGGAAACUUCUUCUGCACCAAAUUGGUAAGCAGCAGUAUUGCCUCUGUUUUCAGCAUCCAUCGCAUGUAAAAUAAAUAAAUAACAGUUGGUGUAUAUUGUCUUCAAGUUUUUAAAUUUUCUGGUUCUUUCACUACUCAAUUGCAGGUCUCGAUGUUAAUCGAACUGACCGUACACUAGUUUAUUACGAGAGCCAGGAGAACUUGGCACGACUGUGGGACAUUCUUACAGUGUACGCAUGGGUGGACACUGACAUCGGUUACUGUCAGGGUGAGUUGUUUAAGCAAUGCAGAUCUUUUUGUCUGCGUGUGCAGAUCAAGUAUUUUUGAAACAAAUCUGGAUCAAUUAUUAGUAAAAAGGGGAAUCCUUUCAUGCAUGAGCCGUGAUUUUUGAAACAAAUCUGGACCAAAAUGCUACUCCUUCCGUCCCACAAUAUAAGAUUGUUUUUCAAGCUAACAUAGCUUGAAAAAUGAUCUUAUAUAUAUUGUGGGACGGAGGGAGUAUGUUGUAUAUAUGCUUAUUAAAUCCUUUCAUGCAUGAGCAGGAAUGAGUGAUCUUUGUUCACCAAUAUCAAUCAUUUUGGAACAUGAAGCGGAUGCUUUUUGGUGCUUUGAACGGCUGAUGCGCAGAGUGGUAAGCACACCUAUCCUUUUAUCACUCAAGAAACAUUUUGAUCCUCUACAUCUUCAAUUAUUUAGGAACUGCAUUGCUUUCUACAGAUAACAUAUAAAACUAAAAGGCUAUAGAAAAAAAAUGCAUACAAUUACAUUUAAACCUUGCAUGAACAUGAAUGGCAAGAUGAUUGUUGUAAGAUACACCUGGUAAUAAAGUCUUUUACAUAUAUAUGGUUGCAUAAUUUGAGACCUACUCAGUCUGAAUUCUGAAUUGUAGGUAGCCGAUUUUGCUUUGCACAAGCAUUUGUUGGUUUCCCAAACCUUAAAGGGACAAUGUGCAUAAGUGUAGCUAUUUGAUACUGGUACCAAAAGAAGCGAAAAAACUCUGAAUUUCUUGGCUGUGCUUUUUGUAAUAGUAGUUGUUCUGCUGCAUGUGGUAUCUGACUUCAUUCAUGUUUCUGCAUAUACUAAAAGCUUUAGUAUUUUACCUUCAAAAUAUGCAGCGUGAAAAUUUCAAGAGUACUUCUACCUCAAUUGGAGUUCGAUCUCAGCUGACCACCUUGUCAACAAUAAUGAAAACUGUUGAUCCAAAGCUACAUGAGCAUUUAGGUAGAGUUUUUUUUUGAGCUCAAUGUUCUUUACUAGACUGUUCAAGAAAUGAAUGCCUUUGCUUCAUCAAUUAUUUAACAACGAGCUCCAGUUUUUGUAUUCCUGAUAAAAAAAUGUAUGCAGAAAAUCUUGAUGGAGGUGAAUACUUAUUUGCCUUUCGGAUGCUGAUGGUUAUUUUUCGUAGAGAGUUCUCUUUUAUAGACACAAUGUACCUUUGGGAGGUAAGGUUUGUUGAUAAUCCUAAUCUAAUAGUACCAAUUACUACAUUGGGCAUUGGUUUCUUAAUGAAAGGCGUUCAUGGCCACAAGGUAACUAUUUUCUUGAUCUUCAAAAUGUUGCAGCUCAUGUGGUCUAUGGAGUACAAUCCAGGUUUUUUUUCAAUGUUGGAGAGUAACACGGGCCCACCAAAUGAAAAAGAUGAAAAUACCCUAAAACAGUGUGGAAAGUUUGAAAGGAAAAAAUUGCAGGCAGCCAAGCAAGAGGAGCAGAUCCCUCUAUCGGUCUUUGUUGUAGCUAGCGUCAUAGAGGCUAGAAACAAGCGGUUACUGGGGGAGGCAAAAGGUCUCGACGAUGUCGUCAAGGUCCUCUCUCUCUCUCUCUCACACACACACACACACACACACGCACACACACACACACACGCACACACACACACACACACACACACAAUGUUGAUCAUAACCGAAAGUUAUGUUUUUUUAUGUUCCUGUCCCCUGAGAACAGAUUUUGAAUGAAAUCACUGGAAGCCUGGAUGCAAAAAAGGCAUGUAGAGGGGCAUUGACAAUUCAGGAGAAGUACCUAACCACAGUGAGUUUCCUGUCGAUACCUAUACCAUUGUCAGUUUAGCCUGAUUAUUUGGUUGGCAAUUUCCUGUCGAUAAGGAGAUGCAAAUAAAAAUAAUUUGUACUUUCCUGAACUGCAGGUAAAAGCAUCAUAGCGGCGUGUACAGGAAAGCAUCCUUAGCAACAAGAUUCGAUUGGUCUUUUUUUCUUUUUACUGGAGAAACAGCUGUAUGGCAGAAAAUUUUCCAUUUUUCAUAUGUGUAUGUUCUGUAAUUUUUUGACCCACCAUGUAAUUUGGCACUUGCACAAAAGGGAAAUGAAUACCAGUGGGAUUGUUCAGGAAUAAAGGUUGCAUUUGUUGUAGAGUUAAAAUACCAGUAGGAUUAUCUGUUAGCAAGGUUUGCUGCUCCUCAUAAAUAUACUUCAAACACUUCAAGUCUCAACUGUUGUUGCAUACAUCGAGAUAUGUAAAAUUUUUCCUUUCAGCGAACUAUGUUCCUGGAGUUAAAUUUUGUUUUGGUUCUUUAUACUCCAGUGGUUGGAGAGGAGUAGGAAUCAACGAAUAAAAUGGCACAUAAUUAGCACGAAAGACAGACCAGGUGCUAGAAGCCCCCACUGGGAAAAGAUUAUACGAGGCAAGCCUUACCCCUGCACAUUGCAAUGCAGAGAGGCCACGCCGAACCCAGGACUUCUUGACACAAGUGGGGAGUACUUCACCACUCACCACUGCGCCAGGCCUGUCCUUCGCAAAUAAUCAGGCUAAACCAGAAAUUAGUUAAUGAAAUGGCCAACCAUUUGGCUAAAAUAGGAACCUGAUUCAGGCCAAGACCUGAUCUCUUUUUGAUGAGAACACCUGAAGUCAUGAUCUCAAAGAAGAAAAAGACGGGGAAAUGAAAAAUCCUGUGAACAUUGUACUCCCUCCGUCUCAAAAUAAGUGUCUUAACUUUAAUAUAGCUUUGUACUGAAGUUAAGUACUGAGGCACUUAUUUUGAGACGGAGGGAGUAUUAGAUAUCAGUACAGAAUUUAUUAAUUACUUUCGCUUAAACAGAUGGAUUAUGGAUGGGCUUAGGCCCAUAUAAGACACUAAUCCCUGGUUAAUCUUGAGGCCCAUGUAUGAGAUGGCAGGUGGUGGGAAGUUUAGUCCCACCUUGCUAGUUGAGGAGAGUUGAGACCCCUUUAUAAGGGCUGCUCUACCACUUGCCAUUGGGAGCUUGGGAAGAGGAGUAGUACACGCACGCUCCUCCUCCUCCGCCGCCCGCCUCGCCUCGACGCGCGCGUACCGCGGGAAUGAGCCGAGUUUUUGCCGCUCAAGAACGAAUUAAUUAGGGAUUAAUUAAUUAGUCGCUAACAGGUGGGCCACUGUCCGAGACGUUGGACUAUGGGCUGACUUGCGUUGCCGGGAUUCGUCGAGUCCCUUGCCGGAAGUGCGACCCUUCGACGACUCCCUUACCGGGAGUGCAUCGACUUGGUCGUGGGCUUCCGCCCAGGCCCACGACUUCCUACCCGACGACCUAUAUAAGAAGGCUCUGCCCAGUGGAGUGACCUAGUUCGGUUCACUCACUCCUUCUUGCGUAACCUAGCUGUCAUCUACUGUUCCUUGCUCUGUGCUGCCUCCGACGACCCCACCCCGACGACCGCGUGCACGGUUGGUCGGGAGAGUGAUACGUCUCCGUCAUAUCUAUAAUUUUUGAUUGUUUCAUGCCAAUAUUCUACAACUUCCAUAUACUUUUUGGCAACUUUUUAUACUAUUUUUUGGGACUAACAUAUUGAUCCAGUGCCCAGUGCCAGUUCCUGUCUGUUGCAUGUUUUUUGUUUCGCAGAAACCCAAUAUCAAACGGAGUCCAAACGGGAUAAAAACAGACGGAGAUUUUUUUUGGAAUAUUUAUGAUUUUUGGGAAGUGAAAUCAACGCGAAACGGUGUCCGGGGUGGUCACGAGGUAGGGGGCGCGCCCUACCCCCCAGGCGCGCCCCUGACCCUCGUGGUCCACCCAUAAGGCAGUUGACGCUCUUCUUUUGGCGCAAGAAAGCUAAUUUUAUGAGAAAGAUCUGGGUGAAAGAUUCACCCCAAUCAGAGUUACGGAUCUCCGGAUAUUUAAGAAACAGUGAAAGGGUAGAAUUAGGGAACGCAGAAACAGAGAGAUAGAUCCAAUCUCAGAGGGGCUCUCGCCCCUCCCACGCCAUGGGAGCCAAGGAACACAGGGGAAACCCUUCUCCCAUCUAGGGAGGAGGUCAAGGAAGAAGAAGAAGAAGGGGGCCCCUCUCCCCCUUGCUUCCGGUGGCGCCGGAGCGCUGUCGGGGGCCAUCAUCAUCACCGUGAUCUUCACCAACACCGCCGCCAUCUUCACCAACAUCUCCACCAACUCUUCCUCCCUCUAUGCAGCGGUGUAACCUCUCUCUUACCCGCUGUAAUCUCUACUUAAACAUGGUGCUCAACACUAUAUAUUAUUCCCCAAUGAUGUAUGGCUAUCUUAUGAUGUUUGAGUAGAUCCGUUUUGUCCUAUGGGUUAAUUGAUGAUCGUGAUUGGUUUGAGUUGCAUGUUUUAUUAUUGGUGUUGUCCUAUUGUGCCCUCCGUGUCGCGCAAGCGUGAGGGAUUCCUGCUAUAGGGUUUUCAAUAUGUUUAUGAUUUUCUUAUGGUGGGUUGCGUGAGUGACUGAAACACAAACCCGAGUAAGUAGGUUGUUUGCGUAUGGGAUAAAAGGGGACUUGAUACUUUAAUGCUAUGGUUGGGUUUUACCUUAAUGAAUCUUUAGUAGUUGCGGACGCUUGCUAGAGUUCCAAUCAUAAGUGCAUAUGAUCCAAGUAGAGAAAGUAUGUUAGCUUAUGCCUCUCCCUCAAAUAGAAUUGCAACAAUGAUUACCGGUCUAGUUAUCGAUUGCCUUGGACAAAUAACUUUCCCGUAACAAAAAGCUCUCUACUAAUAUUUACUUUAUUGCAUCUUUAUCUAAAACAGCCCCUAGUUUAUGUUUACAUGCUCUUUAUUGUCUUGCAAACCUAGCCUUUCACACCUACAAAGUACUUCUCGUUUCAUACUUGUUCUAGGUAAAGCGAACAUCAAGCGUGCGUAGAGUUGUAUCGGUGGUCGAUAGAACUUGAGGGAAUAUUUAUUCUACCUUUAGCUCCUCGUUGGGUUCGACACUCUUACUUAUCGAAAACUGUUGCGAUCCCGUAUACUUGCGGGUUAUCAAGACCUUUUUCUGGCGCCGUUGCCGGGGAGUCAUAGCGUGGGGUGAAUAUUCUCGUGUGUGCUUGUUUGCUUUAUCACUAAGUAAUUUUUAUUUGCUGUUCUUAGUUGUUUUCUAUCUUUAGUUAUGGGUAGGAAACGUAAAAUACCAAAAAAAAUAGUUGUACCUACUGCACCAAUGGUUGAAGAACCACUCAAAAUCUAUCACACUACUGAAGCUUUUUACUUGGAUCAUCUUCGAUCCCUUUGUGCUCGUGCUGAAACCCCAACUAGCUUAGUUGAGGGAAAAUCCUUAGAUGAGCAUGCUUGUUAUGUAAGACACCGUAUAUCUGAAAAAGGGAAACUAUUAUGGGAUCAAAUUCAACGUUUGCAAUGCUAUGCUUGGAAUUUAUGUGAAAUAUAUGAUAUUACUUGUUGUUCUAAAAACCCUAAGAAACACAUUCUCUACCAAUGUGAGUUUGAUAAAGGGAUCGUACCUUCAUAUGCUAAGGGUGUUUAUAAUUACUAUGAUGUUCAACAAAUUGAAGAAUUUGUUGCUUUUAACGGUGCUUUUGAAAUUUCUUCUUUGAUUGAAAAGUAUGAUGCUACUCUCUACAAAUCUGAAAAUUUUGCCAUACUUGAAUAUUGCUAUGAUAAUUAUGCUUCUAAUGUCCAUGUUAAACUAUAUAUUGAGGCCUACCCCGCUGUCCAAGAAGGGACUAAUAUUUUGCAGGAAGCUAUGGAAGAAGAAAUUGAUGAAACUGUGAGCUAAUUGGAUGAAAAAGAUGAUGAGGAGAGCGAAGAACAAAAGGAGGAAGAGCGGAUUAGCUACCCGUGCCCACCUUCUAAUGAGAGUAGCCCUCCAACUCAUACAUUAUUUAAUUUCCCUUCAUGCUUACCGAAGGAUGAUUGCUAUGAUCCCUUGAAUUUGUUUGAAAUAUCCCUUUUUGAUGAUGCUUGCUAUGCUUGUGGCCAAGAUGCCAAUAUGAAUUAUGCUUAUGGAAAUGAACUUGCUAUAGUUCCUUAUUUUAAACAUGAAAUUGUUGCUAUUGCACCCACGCAUUAUAGUCCUAUUAUCUUUCUGAAUUCUCCCUACUACACUAUAUCAGAGAAGUUUGUGCUUAUUAAGGAUUAUAUUGAUGGGUUGCCUUUUACCAUUGCACAUGAUGAUUUUGAUGAAUGUAAUAUGCAUGUGUUUGAUGCUCCUACUUGCAAUUAUUAUGAGAGAGGAACUAUUUCUCCACCUCUCUAUGUUUCCCAUACUAUGAAAUUGCAAGAAACUGCUUAUACUAUGCAUUGGCCUUUACUUUGUGUGCAUGAAUUGUUCUUUUAUGACAUGCCGAUGCAUAGGAAGAGAGUUAGACUUCAUUGUUGCAUGAUGUAUGUUACUUUGUGCUCACUACUAAAUUACAAAUCAUUGUUAAUUAAAAUUGGCUUUGAUAUACCUUGGGAUCCGGGUGGAUCAUUUACUUGACCACUAUAUGCCUAGCUUAAUGGCUUUAAAGAAAGCGCUGUUAGGGAGACAACCCGGAAGUUUUAGAGAGUCAUUUAUUUUUGUUGAAGUGCUUUUAUAUAGUUUAAAAACAAAAAAAAUAAAGAGGGGAACCUAAAAACUUUUCAAAAAGAGAAGUGAAAGUGAGAGAGACGAGCAUUGUGAAAGUGGGGGACGUCCUUGAACUUUGUUCAUGCCCAUGGGAACUUUGUGAAUCUUAAUUACAGAAACUUUUCAAUAAAAAUAAUUAUCCCCUUGUACAAUUCCAUUGUAUUAUAAAAAUAAUGUGCCAAGGUUUGCCUUUAGGAUGUUUACAAUGCUUGUUGGUUUGUACGGUGCAGGACAGAAACUAUGGCUGUAGUGCGUGAUUUUACAUUUUUACCUGAAAUGUCAAUUGGUUCUGAUUCCUUUUGCACUGUCUUGAUAUACAACUUUUUUAUUUUUCUAAUUUUGGUAGAAUUGUUGGGGUACCAUAAGUAUGGUGGAUGUUCAGAUUGCUACAGACUGUUCUGUUUUUGACAGAUUCUGUUUUUGAUGCAUAGUUUGCUUGUUUUGAUGAAUCUAUCAAUUUAUAUCAGUGGAUUAAGCCAUGGAAAAGUUAUAUUACAGUAGCCUCAAUGCAAAAACAAAAUAUUAAUUGGUUUGCAAUAGUACUUAGAGUGGUGAUUUGCUUUAUUAUACUAACGGAUCUUACCGAGUUUUCUGUUGAAGUUUUGUGUGGAUGUAGUGUCUAAUCGAGGAUGUUUCGAUGUGAGAAGAAGGAAGAGAGGCAAGAGCUCAAGCUUGGGGAUUCCAGAGGCACCCCAAGUAAAUAUUCAAGGAGACUCAAGCAUCUAAGCUUGGGGAUGCUAGGGAGGCAUCCCCUCUUUCUUCAACAAGUAUCGGUAUGUUUCAGAUUCGUUUCGUUCAUGCAUUAUGUGCAAGUCUUGGAGCAUCUUUUGCAAUUAGGUUUUUAUUUUUCUUUUAUGCACCAUGCUGGUACGAGAUAGUCCUUGGUUGAUUUAUAGAAUGCUCACUACACUUCACUUAAAUCUUUUGAGUGUGUCUUUAUAGAAUGCUUCAUGUGCUUCACUUAUAUCAUUUGAAGUUGGAUUGCCUGUUUCUCUUUACAUAGAAAACCGCCAUUUGUAGAAUGCUCUUUUGCUUCACUUAUACUUGUUAGAGCGUGGGAAUAUCUUUUGUAGAAAGAAUUAAACUCUCUUGCUUCACUUAUAUCAAUUUAGAGAGAUGACAGGAAUUGGUCAUUCACAUGGUUAGUCAUAAAAUCCUACAUAAACUUGUAGAUCGCUGAAUAUGAUAUGUUUGAUUUCUUGCAAUAGUUUUGCGAUAUAAAGAUGGUGAUAUUAGAGUCAUGCUAGUGGGUGGUUGUGGAUUGUAGAGACACUUGUGUUGAGGUUUGCAAGUCCCGUAGCAUGCACGUAUGGUAACCGUUGUGUGACAAAUUUGAAGCAUGGGGUGUUUCUUUGAUUGUCUUCCUUAUGAGUGGCGGUCGAGGACGAGCGAUGGUCUUUUCCUACCAAUCUAUCUCCCUAGGGGCAUGCGUAGUAGUACUUUGCUUCGAGGGCUAAUAAACUUUUGCAAUAAGUACAUGAGUUCUUUAUGACUAAUGUGAGUCCAUGGAUUAUACGCACUCUCACCCUUCCAUCAUUGCUAGCCUCUUCGGUAUCGUGCAUUGCCCUUUCUCACCUUGAGAGUUGGUGCAAACUUCGCCGGUGCAUCCAAACCCCGUGAUACGAUACGCUCCAUCACACAUAAGCCUCAUUAUAUCUUCCUCAAAACAGCCACCAUACCUACCUAUCAUGGCAUUUCCAUAGCCAUUCCGAGAUAUAUUGCCAUGCAACUUCCAUCAUCAUCAUAUUCCUGACUUGAGCAUUCAUUGUCAUAUUGCUUUGCAUGAUCGUAAGAUAGCUAGCAUGAUGUUUUCAUGGCUUGUCUGUUUUUUGAUGUCAUUGCUAUGCUAGAUCAUUGCACAUCCCGGUACACCGCCAGAAGCAUUCAUAUAGAGUCAUAUCUUUGUUCUAGUAUCGAGUUGUAAUGUUGAGUUGUAAGUAAAUAAAAGUGUGACGAUCAUCAUUAUAGAGCAUUGCCCCAUGAAAAAAAAGAAAGGCCAAAGAAGCCUAAAUAAAAAAAGGGGGGCCAAAGAAGCCCAUCCAAAAAAGGGGCAAUGUUACUAUCUCUUUUUCCACACUUGUGCUUCAAAGUAGCACCAUGUUCUUCAUGUAGUGAGUCUCAUAUCUUGUGCUUCAAAGUAGCACCAUGUUCUUCAUAUAGAUUGUCUCCUAUGUUGUCACUUUCAUAUACUAGUGAGAAUUUUCAUUAUAGAACUUGGCUUGUAUAUUCCAAUGAUGGGCUUCCUCAAAUGCCCUAGGUCUUCGUGAGCAAGCAAGUUGGAUGCACACCCACUUAGUUUCUUUUGUUGAGCUUUCAUACACUUAUAGCUCUUAGUGCAUCUGUUGCAUGGCAAUCCCUACUCCUCGCAUUGACAUCAAUUGAUGGGCAUCUCCAUAGCCUGUUGAUUAGCCGCGUCGAUGUGAGACUUUCUCCUUUUUUGUCUUCUCCACAUAACCUCCAUCAUCAUAUUCUAUUCCACCUAUAGUGCUAUAUCCAUGGCUUGCGCUCAUGUAUUGCGUGAGGGUUGAAAAAGCUGAACCGCGUUAAAAAGUAUGAACCAAUUGCUCGGCUCGUCAUCGGGGUUGUGCAUGAUCGGAGCAUUUUGUGUGACGAAAAUGAAGCAUGGCCAAACUAUAUGAUUUUGUAGGGAUAAGCUUGCUUUGGCCUUGUUGUUUUGAAAAGACAUGAUUGCUUUAUUGGUAUGCUCGAAAUAUUAUUGUUUUUUAUGUCAAAUGAUAGACUAUUGCUUUGAAUCAUUCGUGUCUUAAUAUUCAUGCCAUGAUUAGACAUAUGAUCAAGAUUAUGCUAGGUAGCAUUCCACAUCAAAAAUUAUCUUUUUUUUUUCAUUUACCUGCUUGAGGACGAGCAGGAAUUAAGCUUGGGGAUGCUGAUACGUCUCCGUCGUAUCUAUAAUUUUUGAUUGUUCCAUGCCAAUAUUCUACAACUUCCAUAUACUUUUUGGCAAGUUUUUAUACUAUUUUUUGGGACUAACAUAUUGAUCCAAUGCCCAGUGCCAGUUCCUGUCUGUUGCAUGUUUUUUGUUUCGCAGAAACCCAAUAUCAAACGGAGUCCAAACGGGAUAAAAACGGACGGAGAUUUUUUUGGAAUAUUUAUGAUUUUUGGGAAAUGAAAUCAACGCGAAACGGUGUCUGGGGUGGUCAUGAGGUAGGGGGGCGCGCCCUACCCCCCAGGUGCGCCCCUGACCCUUGUGGUCCACCCGUAAGGCGAUUGACGCUCUUCUUUUGGCGCAAGAAAGCUAAUUUUAUGAGAAAGAUCUGGGCGAAAGAUUCACCCCAAUCGGAGUUAGGGAUCUCCGGAUAUUUAAGAAACGGUGAAGCGGUAGAAUCAGGGAACGCAGAAACAGAGAGAUAGAUCCAAUCUCGGAGGGGCUCUCGCCCCUCCCACACCAUGGGAGCCAAGGAACAGAGGGGAAACCCUUCUCCCAUCUAGGGAGGAGGUCAAGGAAGAAUAAGAAGAAGGGGGGCCCUCGCCCCCUUGCUUUCGGUGGCGCCGGAGCGCUGCCGGGGGCCAUCAUCAUCACCACGAUCUUCACCAACACCGCCGCCAUCUUCACCAACAUCUCCACCAACUCUUCCUCCCUCUAUGCAGCGGUGUAACCUCUCUCUUACCCGCUGUAAUCUCUACUUAAACAUGGUGCUCAACGCUAUAUAUUAUUCCCCAAUGAUGUAUGGCUAUCUUAUGAUGUUUGAGUAGAUCCGUUUUGUCCUAUGGGUUAAUUGAUGAUCGUGAUUGGUUUGAGUUGCAUGUUUUAUUAUUGGUGCUGUCCUAUUGUGCCCUCCGUGUCGCGCAAGCGUGAGGGAUUCCCACUGUAGGGUUUGCAAUAUGUUUAUGAUUUGCUAAUGGUGGUUUGCAUGAGUGACUGAAACACAAACCCGAGUAAGUAGGUUGUUUGCGUAUGGGAUAAAAGGGGACUUGAUACUUUAAUGCUAUGGUUGGGUUUUACCUUAAUGAAUCUUUAGUAGUUGCGGACGCUUGCUAGAGUUCCAAUCAUAAGUGCAUAUGAUCCAAGUAGAGAAAGUAUGUUAGCUUAUGCCUCUCCCUCAAAUAGAAUUGCAACAAUGAUUACCGGUCUAGUUAUCGAUUGCCUUGGACAAAUAACUUUCUCGUAACAAAAAGCUCUCUACUAAUAUUUACUUUAUUGCAUAUUUAUCUAAAACAGCCCCUAGUUUAUGUUUACAUGCUCUUUAUUGUCUUGCAAACCUAGCCUUUCACACCUACAAAGUACUUCUAGUUUCAUACUUGUUCUAGGUAAAGCGAACAUCAAGCGUGCGUAGAGUUGUAUCGGUGGUCGAUAGAACUUGAGGGAAUAUUUAUUCUACCUUUAGCUCCUCGUUGGGUUCGACACUCUUACUUAUCAAAAACUAUUGCGAUCCCGUAUACUUGCGGGUUAUCAGAGAGCAGGUGCCUCCGGAACCCUGCCGUUCGAGAUCAUGCCCGGGAGAAUGGCAAUAAGGUUUUUGGGGAGCGUCUCGGCGCGACUGCUCCCGAUCCAUCCCUGGCUCCGUCAGCCUCUGCUUCCACUACUUCCCCUGCAUCAACACCAUGGCCGCCGCUGCCGCCGCCAAGAAGAAGGCCACAGACGAAGCCGAGGCUGCUGCUGCUGCCGUUGCGUUGGCCUGGCCAACCGGAGGGUAUAAUCUAUUCAUCCCUCAUUUACUCGUGCUUGUGCUAGUCGUAUAUCUUCUGCUCAUAGAUGGUUUGCUUCCAUGUUCUGUACAUGCUAGUAUGCUUAGGAAUCGGUAUGAGAUGCAUAUUGUAUUUGCCAUGCUUACUGUUUACUCGUGGAUUAGUCUAAUUGGAAAAGUGCUAAUAUUUCCAACAAUCCAAAAACCUUAUUUUAGGCACUUUUCGAUUCAAGGCUUUGCUGUGACACUGAAACCGAAAAAGUCUACUGGGAUGCAUUUUAAGCGUUGACAGACAAGGACCACCUUGUGGCUCACAACAAUGAACGUGUUCUGGGUUGGUGCUGUGUCUCCCACAGAAACAUUGUUCCUGAACAGGAAAAGGCAUUUAGGGAGGAAACCACCAGCUUUGUGGGAGCCGUUCUUACUGUGAUCGGAGACAAUUUGGUUAACGCAUAUCUCCAUAUGCGUGUUGCCAAAAACUUGUGGGAUGCACUCGAAGCUAAGUUCUGCAAAACCGAUGCUAGGAGCGAAUUGUAUGCCAUGGAGCAGUUCCAUGAUUACAGGAUGGUUGAUAACCGUUUUGUAUUGGACCAGGCUCAUGAGAUACAGUGCAUCGCUAAGGAGCUGGAGCUCCUGAAGUGUGAGUUAUCGGACAAAUUUGUCGCGGGUUGCAUUAUUGCAAACUCCCUCCUGGAUGGAGGAACUUUGCUACUUCUCUCAAGCACUUGAGACGUGAAUUCUCUGUUGAGGAUGUCAUUGGUCAUCUCAGUGUUAAGCAGAACUUGAGAGCAAAGGACUCACACAUGAAAGGGGCAGAGGGUUCUUCUAGCGCCAAUGUGGUGCAGAAGAACUUCCACAAGUUCAAGGGAAAUGAUUCUGUCCAACAGAAUACUACCUUUAAGAAGAAGGGUAAGAAGAAAGACAAAAAGAGAGAUGGCUGCUUUACUUGUGGUUCUUAGGAACACUAGGCAAACAAGUGCCCAAACAAGUACAAGAAGUCAGGACAAGACUCCAAGUCUGUCAAUGUCACUCUGAGCAACAAUGAUGGGGCAUCUGGGUAUGAUAAUUUGUUUACCAUACUUUCAGUUUGUCAGUCCACCGGUUGGUGGGUUGACACUGGGCCAACAUUCAUGUGUGUGCUUAUGUGUCUUUGUUUUCUUCUUACCAGGUCACACGAGAUUGUUCCGUCCUGAUGGGGAAUGGCUCGGAUGCUUCUGUUCAUGGUGUUGGCAUGGUAGAUCUGAAGUUUACUUCGGGAAAGAUCGUGCAACGGAAGAACGUGCAGCAUGUCCCCGCCAUCAAGAAGAAUCUCGUUAGUGGCUCCCUUCUAUGUAAAGAAGGGUUUAAGUUAGUAUUUGAGUCUAACAAAAAGUAGUCAUAUCUCGGUAUGGACUGUUUGUUGGAAAAGGAUAUUAUUGUGGUGGUUUGUUCCGCCUUUCCCUGUAGGAUUUCUGUAAUAAAGCCGUGAACCAAAUUCAUUCUAAUGUGAACGAAUAUGAGGUUUGGCAUUCACGUCUUUGUCACAUAAAUUUCGGUUGUAUGACGCGGCUAGCCAAGAUGGAUUUAAUCCCGAGUUUCACUUUAGCCAAAGGCUCUAAGUGCCAUGCGUGUGCGCAAGCUAAGCAACCUCGUAAGCCUCAUAAGCUUGCGAAGGAGAGACACCUGGCACCGUUAGAGCUCAUACAUUCAGAUCUCUGUGAGAUGAAUGGUGUGUUGACUAAAGGUGGAAAGAAAUACUUCAUGACUCUGAUUGAUGAUCCACUAGAUUCUGCUAUGUGUUUUUGUUAAAUACCAAGGAUGAGGCUCUACACUACUUUAAAGUCUAUGAGGCUAAAGUUGAGAACCAACUUGAGAAGAAAAUAAAACGAGUCCGGUCUGAUCGUGGUGGAGUGCGCUUUUCUAAUGAGUUUGAUUUAUUCUGUGCGGAACAUGGUAUUAUUCAUGAGAGGACGACUCCCUACUCACUCCAGUCAAACGGGGUUGCCGAACGGAAAAACCGUACUCUAACUGAUUUGGUUAACACCAUGUUAGAUACAUCGGGUUUAUCCAAGGCAUGGUGGGAGGAGGCUGUAUUGACAUCAUGUCAUGUCCUGAAUAAAGUUCCCACUGAAACUACUCCCUAUGAGCAAUAGGAAAAGAAAAGGACUACACUCUCUUACUUGCGCACUUGGGGCUGUUUGGUGAAAGUCAACUAGCCGAUAACCAAAAAGCGCAAGUUGGGACCAAAGACUGUGGAUUGCGUUUUUAUUGGCUAUGCCAAGCAUAGCAUUGGCUAUAGAUUUCUAGUAGUGAAAUCUGAUGUACACGACGUAAAGGUCGAUACGAUCAUGGAGUCUAGGGAUGCUACAUUCUUUGAGGAUAUUUUCCCCAUGAGAUAUAUGCAAAGCACUUCUAGACUGGAAUAUGAUGAGACUCCUGAACCUGCCAUUCCGAUGGAAUAUUAUGAACAUAAAAGUGAUGAUAGUUCCACGGAGGAUGAUGAGUGAUACGUCCAUUUUGCAUCAUGCUUUGAUAUUGAUAUUUAUUGCAUUAUGAGCUGUUAUUACACGUUAUGUCACAAUACUUAUGCCUAUUCUCUCUUAUUUUACAAGGUUUACAUGAAGAGGGAGAAUGCCAACAGCUAUAAUUCUGGGCUGGAAAAGGAGCAAAUAUUAGAGACAUAUUCUGCACAACUCCAAAAGUCCUGAAACUCCACGGAAGUUAUUUUUGGAAUUAAUAAAAAAUACUGGAGUGAAGAAAAUACUAGAGGGGGGUCACCCACCAUCCACGAGGGUGGGGGGCACACCCUACCCCCCUGGGCGUGGCCCCUGCCUCGUGGGCCCCCUGGCAGGCCUCCAGUGCCCAUCUUCUGCUAUAUGAAGUCUUUCACCCUGAAAAAAAUCAUCAGCAAGCUUUCGGGACGAAACACCGCCGCCACGAGGCGGAACCUUGGCGGAACCAAUCUAGGGCUCUGGCGGAGCUGUUCUGCCGGAGAAACAUCCCUCCGGGAGGGGGAAAUCAUCAUCAUCAUCAUCAUCACCAUCGAUCCUCUCAUCGGGAGGGGGUCAAUCUCCAUCAACAUCUUCACCAGCACCAUCUCCUCUCAAACCCUAGUUCAUCUCUUGUAUCCAAUCUUUGUCCCAAAACCUCAGAUUGGUACCUGUGGGUUGUAGUGUUGAUUACUCCUUGUAGUUGAUGCUAGUUGGUUUAUUCAGUGGAAGAUCAUAUGUUCAGAUCCUAUAUGCAUACUAAUACCCCUCUGAUUAUGAACAUGAAUAUGAUUUGUGAGUAGUUACGUUUGUUCCUGAGGACAUGGGAGAAGUCUUGCUAUAAGUAGUCAUGUGAAUUUGGUAUUCGUUCGAUAUUUUGAUGAGAUGUAUGUUGUCUCUCCUCUAGUGGUGUUAUGUGAACGUCGACUACAUGACACUUCACCAUUGUUUGGGCCUAUAGGAAGGCAUUGGGAAGUAAUAAGUAGAUGAUGGGUUGCUAGAGUGGCAGAAGCUUAAACCCUAGUUUAUGCAUUGCUUCAUAAGGGGCUGAUUUGGAUCCACAUAUUUCAUGCUAUGGUUAGGUUUACCUUAAUACUUCUUUUAUAGCUGCGGAUGCUUGCAAUAGGGAUUAAUCAUAAGUGGGAUGCUUGUCCAAGAAAGGGCAGUACCCAAGCACCGGUCCACCCACAUACCAAAUUAUCAAAGUAACGAACGCGAAUCAUAUGAGUGUGAUGAAAACUAGCUUGACGAUAAUUCCCAUGUGUCCUCAGGAGCGCUUUUCUCUAUAUAAGAACUUGUCCAGGCUUGUCCUUUGCUACAAAAAGGAUCGGGCCUUCUUGCUGCACCUUAUUUACAUUUGUUACUUGUUACCCGUUACAAAUUACCUUAUCACAAAACUAUCUGUUACGUAUAAUUUCAGUGCUUGCAGAGAAUACCUUACUGAAAACCGCUUGUCAUUUCCUUCUGCUCCUCAUUGGGUUUGACACUCUUACUUAUCAAAAGGACUACGAUAGAUCCCCUACACUUGUGGGUCAUCAAGACUCUUUUCUGGCGUCGUUGCCGGGGAGUGAAACGCCUUUGGUAAGUGGAACUUGGUAAGGAAAAAUUUAUAUAGUGUGCUGAAAUUUACUGUCACUUGUUACUAUGGAACAUAAUCCUUUGAGGGGCUUGUUCAAGGUAUCUUCACCACGACCAGUAGAGCAAAGAGUUGCUCCUCAACCUACUGAACCUACUGAAAAUGUUUACUUUGAAAUUCCUUCGGGUAUGGUAGAGAAACUGCUAGCUUAUCCUUUUAUAGGAGACGGAACAUUGCAUCCCGAUUUGCACCUAAUCUAUGUGGAUGAAGUUUGUGGAUUAUUUAAGCUUGCAGGUAUGCCCGAAGAUGUUAUCAAGAAUAAGGUCUUCCCUUUAUCUUUGAAGGGAAAGGCAUUGACAUGGUUUAGGCUAUGUGAUGAUAUAGGAUCAUGGAACUACAACCGCUUGAAAUUGGAAUUUCAUCAGAAGUUUUAUCCUAUGCAUCUUGUUCAUCGUGAUCGUAAUUAUAUAUAUAAAUUUUGGCCUCGUGAAGGAGAAAGCAUCGCUCAAGCUUGGGGGAGGCUUAAGUCAUGAGCUCUCAAGAGAAAUUAUAUAUAAAUCUUGUUCAUCGUGAUCGUAAUUAUAUAUUCAUGCCGCAAUCAUGAGCUCUCAAGAGAAAUUAUUAUUCAAAUUUUUUAUGCUCGACUUUCUCUCAACAAUCGCUCCAUGCUCGAUACUUCUUGUACUGGAUCUUUUAUGAUGAAGACUAUUGAAUUCAGAUGGGAUUUAUUGGAAAUAAUUAAAUGCAACUCUGAAGAUUGGGAUCUCGAUGAAGGUAAGGAGUCAGGUAUAACACCUAAGUUUGAUUGUGUUAAAUCUUUUAUGGAUACCGAUGCUUUUCGUGAAUUUAGCACUAAAUAUGGACUUGACUCUGAGAUAUUAGCUUCUUUCUGUGAAUCGUUUGCUACUCAUGUUGACCUCCCUAAGGAUAAGUGGUUUAAAUAUAAUCCUCCCAUUGAAGUAAAAGUAGUUGCACCUAUUAAAGUUGAAGAAAAGACUAUCACUUAUAAUGAUCCUAUUGUUCCUACUACCUAUACUGAGAAACCACCUUUCCCUGUUAGGAUAAAGGAUCAUGCUAAAGCUUCAACUGUGGUUUGUAAGUGUAAUACUAGAACACCUACACCACCUGAGCAAAUUAAAGUUGAACCUAGUAUUGCUAUGGUUAAAGAUCUCUUGGCUGAUAAUAUUGAUGGGCAUGUUAUUUACUUCUGUGAUGAAGUUGCUAGAAUUGCUAGACCCGAUAAUAAGAAUAAACAUAGACCUAUUGUAGGCAUGCCUGUUAUUUCUAUUAAAAUAGGAGAUCAUUGUUAUCAUGGCUUAAGUGUUAUGGGUGCUAGUGCAAGUGCAAUACCUCAUUCCUUAUACAAAGAAAUUAAGCAUGAUAUUGUACCUGCUGAGAUAGAAGAAAUUGAUGUUACAAUUAAGCUUGCCAAUAGAGAUACUAUUUCACCAGUUGGGAUUGUUAGAGAUGUUGAAGUCUUGUGUGGGAAAGUUAAAUAUCGUGCUGAUUUUCUUGUUCUUGGUUCCCCACAAGAUAGCUUUUGUCCCAUUAUAUUUGGCAGGCCCUUCUUGAACACUGUUAAUGCCAGGAUAGACAGCAAAAAGGAUGUUGUUACUAUUGGUUUGGGGGAUAUGUCUCAUGAGUUUAAUUUUGCUAAAUUUCGUAGACAACCUCAUGAUAAAGAAUUACCUAGUAAGGAUGAAAUAAUUGGUCUUGCUUCUAUUGCCGUGCCUCCUAAUGAUCCUUUAGAACAAUAUUUGCUAGACCAUGAAAAUGAUAUGUUUAUGAAUGAAAGAAGGGAGAAGAUGAAGCAUUCUUUAAACAGGGACCUAUUUUGAAACACAACUUGCCUAUUGAAAUUCUAGGGGAUCCUCCACCACCCAAGGGUGAUCCUGUGUUUGAGCUUAAACCACUACCUGACACUCUUAAAUAUGCUUAUCUUGAUGAAAAGAAGAUAUAUCCUGUUAUUAUUAGUGCUAACCUUUCAGAGCAGGAAUAGGAGAAACUAUUGAAAACUCUAAAGAAGCACCGUGCUGCUAUUGGAUAUACUCUUGAUGAUCUUAAGGGCAUUAGUCCCACUCUAUGCCAGCACAAGAUAAAAUUGGAGAAAGACGCUAAACCAGUUGUUGAUCACCAACGGCGGUUAAAUCCUAAGAUGAAAGAAGUGGUAAGAAAAGAAAUACUAAAGCUUCUGGAGGCAGGUAUAAUUUAUCCCGUUCCUGAUAGUUAGUGGGUAAGUCAUGUCCAUUGUGUCCCUAAGAAGGGAGGUAUUACUGUCGUUCCUAAUGAUAAAGAUGAAUUGAUCCCACAAAUAAUUGUUACAUGUUAUAGGAUGGUAAUUGAUAUCCGCAAAUUAAAUAAAGCUACUAAAAAGGAUCAUUACCCUUUGCCUUUUAUUGAUCAAAUGCUAGAAAGAUUAUCCAAACAUACACAUUUUUGCUUUCUAGAUGGUUACUCUGGUUUCUCUCAAAUACUUGUGUCAAAAUAGGAUCAAGAAAAGACCACUUUUACUUGCCCUUUCGGUACCUUUGCUUAUAGACGUAUGCCUUUUGGUUUAUGUAAUGCACCGGCUACCUUUCAAAGAUGCAUGAUGGCUAUAUUCUCUGACUUUUGUGAAAAGAUUGUUGAGGUUUUCAUGGAUGAUUUCUCCGUUUAUGGAUCUUCUUUUGAUGAUUGCUUGAGCAACCUUGAUCAAGUUUUGCAGAGAUGUUGAGAAACUAGUCUUGUCUUGAAUUGAGAGAAGUGCCACUUUAUGGUUAAUGAAGGUAUUGUCUUGGGGCAUAAAAUUUCUGAAAGAGGUAUUGAAGUUGACAAAGCUAAAGUUGAUGCUAUUGAAAAGAUGCCAUGUCCCAAGGACAUUACAGGUAUAAGAAGUUUCCUUGGUCAUGCCGAUUAUUAUAGGAGGUUCAUUAAAGACUUCUCUAAAAUUUCUAGGCCUCUGACUAAUCUCUUACAAAAAGAUAUUCCUUUUGUCUUCGAUGAUGAUUGUGUAUAAGCAUUUGAAAUACUUAAGAAAGCUUUGAUUUCUGCACCUAUUGUUCAUCCACCUAAUUGGAAUUUACCCUUUGAAAUUAUGUGUGAUGCUAGUGAUUAUGCCAUAGGUGCUAUUCCAGGACAAAGAGUUGAUAAGAAACUAAAUGUUAUUCAAUAUGCUAGUAAAACUCUAGAAAGUGCCCAGAGAAAUUAUGCUACUACUGAAAAAGAAUUUUUAGCAGUUGCAUUUGCUUGUGAUAAGUUCAGACCUUAUAUUGUUGAUUCUAAAGUAACUGUUCACACUGAUCAUGCUGCUAUUAAAUAUCUUAUGGAAAAGAAAGAUGCUAAACCUGGACUUAUUAGAUGGGUUCUCUUGCUACAAGAAUUUGAUUUGCAUAUUAUUGAUAGAAAGGGAGCUGAGAACCCCGUUGCAGACAACUUGUCUAGGUUAGAGAAUGUUCUUGAUGACCCACUACCUAUUGAUGAUAGCUCCCCUGAUGAACAAUUAGCUGUCAUAAAUGCUUCUUGUGCUGCUCCAUGGUAUGCUGAUUAUGCUAAUUACAUUGUUGCUAAAUUUAUACCACCUAGUUUCACAUACCAGCAAAAGAAAAAGUUUUUCUAUGAUUUAAGACAUUACUUUUGGGAUGACCCACACCUUUAUAAAGGAGUAGAUGGUGUUAUUAGACGCCGUGUACUUGAGCAUGAACAGGAAUAGAUCCUACGCAAGUGUCACUUCGAGGCUUAUGAAGGACACCACGCUGGAGAUAGAACUACGCAUAAGGUAUUGCAAUCCGGUUUUAUUGGCCUACUCUCUUCAAGGAUGCCCAUAAGUUUGUCUUGUCUUGCGAUGAAUGUCAAAGAAUUGGUAAUAUUAGUAGACGUCAAGAAAUGCCUAUGAAUUAUUCUCUUGUUAUUGAACCAUUUGAUGUUUGGGGCUUUGAUUAUAUGGGACUGUUUCCUUCCUCUAAUGGGUAUACACAUAUUUUGGUUGCUGUUGAUUAUGUUACUAAGUGGGUAGAAGCUAUUCCAACUAGUAGUGCUGAUCAUAACACCUCUAUUAAGAUGCUUAAAGAAGUUAUUUUUCCGAGGUUUGGAGUCCCUAGAUACCUAAUGACUGAUGGUGGCUCACAUUUUAUUCAUGGUGCUUUUCGUAAAAUGCUUGCUAAGUAUGAUGUUAAUCAUAGAAUUGCAUCUCCAUAUCACCCACAGUCUAGUGGCCAAGUAGAACUGAGUAAUAGAGAGCUCAAAUUAAUUUUGCAGAAGACUGUUAAUAGAUCUGGAAAGAAUUGGUCCAAGAAACUUGAUGAUGCAUUAUGGGCUUAUGGAACAACAUAUAAAAAUCCUAUGGGUAUGUCUCCAUAUAAAAUGGUUUACUUUAAAGCAUGUCACUUACCUCUCGAACUAGAACAUAAGUCAUAUUGGGCCAUUAAAGAGUUCAAUUAUGAUUUCAAACUUGCCGGUGAGAAGAGGUUAUUUGACAUUAGCUCACUUGAUGAAUGGAGAACUCAAGCCUAUGAGAAUGCCAAAUUGUUUAAAUAAAAAGUUAAAAGAUGGCAUGACAAAAGGAUACAAAAGCGUGAGUUUAAUGUAGGUGAUUAUGUUUUUCUAUACAACUCUCAUUUAAGAUUUUUUGCAGGAAAACUUCUCUCUAAAUGGGAAGGCCCUUAUGUUAUCGAGGAGGUCUAUCAUUCCGGUGCCAUAAAAAUCAACAACUUCGAAGGCAGAAGUCCGAAGGUGGUGAACGGUCAAAGGAUCAAAGAUUACAUCUCAGGUAAUCCCAUAAAUGGUGAAACCAAUGUGAUUGAAACCGUAACCCCAGAGGAAUACAUAAGGGACACUUUCCAGAAUGUUUCAGACUCCGAAAAGGAAUAGGUAUGUGGUAUGGUAAGUAAACCGACUCCAAAACAGUUCUAAUAGUAGAUUUUCUCCCUUUUGGAAUAUUUAAGAAAAUAGGAAAAUAAGAAGUAGUCCGGGAAGGACACGAGGCGUCCACAAGGGUGGAGGGCGCGCCCCCUGCCUCAUGGGCACCUCAUGUGCUCUCCGGACUCCGUUUUGUUGCAUGAUACUCCUUUUGGUCGGUAAAAAUUCAUUAUAUAAUCUCCCAAAGGUUUUGACCACCGUACCACGACAAAAUCCUCUGUUUUUGUUUCAAGCUAUUUUUCUGACAGAUCUAGAUCACCAUGACGUCUUCAAGCGCCCCCAAGGACAAGUUUUUCAAGAAGGCCAUCAACCCUACCUCGUGGAGGUGCUACAACACCCUUAAACCAUUGAGAUGCGUGAGGGGGUGGUGCACAUCCGCGAUGUUGAGGGACCAAGGAGGACCAAAAGCGUGGAGACAAGACUUGAAGCAAUGGAACAACAAGUUUUCAAGUUCCAAGGGAUGGUGGAACGCGGAAUCAACGCCAACCACAUGAUGAUCGCGGAGUUCACCAACAACCACAUGCUGGAUGCCAAGAACAUUGGGGAGACCAUCUUCAAUCUUCAUGAGAAAAUCGAGCACCUCCAAGCCCAGAUAUAUGACCUGCAAAACCAAAACUAUGAGUGUGAAUAUAGAUUCAAGAGGAUGAGUUUGGCUGCAGAUUUGAGGAUCCUGGAGACUCGAUCAUCCUUCUAUGAUGGUGAGCCUAUGCCUUGGAAGAUGGAGGACAAACCUACAUCAUGAACAACUCUAUCAUCACCACUUCCGAAGAAGGAGACGUAAACAAAUGGGUAUGGGCACUCCCCUUGGUAACUGCCAAGCUUGGGGGAGGUGCCCCGGUAUCAUAUCACCAUCAUGCUCCUAUCUUUACCGCUUUUCUUAGUUUGAUCCUUUUGGGAAUAUCUUGAUCUAGUAGAAUAAAGUUUUAGUAUGAUCUAGUUUUGAGUUUUGCUUUAUGAUUCCUCUAUGUAAUCGAGUCAGUGAGCUAUAUAUAAUAAAGAUUAGUGUUGAGUCAAGGGCUUGGCCAUCUUGCUAUGAUCUUGAGGGAAUAAAAGAAAAAGAAAGAAUAAAAAGAAAUAAAGAGAUCAUAUUGAUCUUAUGGAGAGUAAUGACUUCACAUAUAAAGAGUAGAUGAAUAAAGUUGUUGAGAGUUGACAAACAUAUUUUUGGUCAUCGUUGCAAUUAAUAGGAAGUAAUAAAGAAAGAGAGGUUCUCACAUAUAAAUAUACUUGGACAUCUUUUAUGAUUGUGAGCACUCAUUAAAAUAUGACAUGCUAAAGAGUUGAUGUUGGACAAGGAAGACAAGGUAAUGGGCUAUGUUUACUUAUAUCUGAAAUAAAAUAUAUUGUCAUGGAUCAUCCAACAUGUUGAGCUUGCUUUUCCCCCUCAUGCUAGCCAAAUUCUUUGCACCAAGUAGAGAUACUACUUGUGCUUCCGCAUAUCCUUAAACCCAGUUUUGCCAUGAGAGUCCACCAUAUCUACCUACGGCUUGAGUAAGAUGCUUCAAGUAAGUUGUCAUUGUUGUAUGCAAUAAAAAUUGCUCUCUAAAUAUGUAUGACUUAUUAGUGUGGAGAAAAUAAGCUUUAUACGAUCUUGUGAUAUGGAAGCAAUAAAAGCGACGGACUGCAUAAUAAAGGUCCAUAUCACAAGUGGCAAUAUAAAGUGACGUUCUUUUGUAUUAAGAUUUCGUGCAUCCAACCAUAAAAGCACAUGACAACCUCUGCUUCCCUCUAUGAAGGGCCUAUCUUUUACUUUUGUGUUACACAUUAUGCAAGAGUCAUGGUGAUCUUCACCUUUCCUUUUUAUAUUUUAUCCUUUGGCAAGCACCUUGUGUUGGAAAGAUCCUGAUAUAUAUCCAAUUGGAUGUAAGUUAGCAUGAACUAUUAUUGUUGACAUUACCCUUGAGGUAAAAGGUUGGGGACAACACUAUAAGCCCCCAUAUUUCUUUGUGUCUGAUUAAAACUCCAUACCCAUAAGUAUUGCAUGAGUGUUAGCAAUUGUGAAAGAUUAAAUGAUAGUUGAGUAUGUGGACUUGCUGAAAAGCUCUUAUAUUGACUCUUUCCGAUGUUAUGAUAAAUUGCAAUUGCUUCAAUGACCGAGAGCAUGGUUUGUUAGUCCUCAAUGAAGUUUCUGAUUCAUACUUAACAUUGUGGAUAGAUUAUUACUUGAGCAUAAGAAAUCAUAUGACAAUAUAUAUAUAUAUAUGUUGCUGUUAUAAGAAUGAUCAUGAUGCCCUCAUGUCCGUAUUUUAUUUUAUCGGCACCUCUAUCUCUAAACAUGUGGACAUAUUUUUCGUUAUUGGCUUCCGCUUGAGGACAAGCAAGGUCUAAGCUUGGGGGAGUUGAUACGUCCAUUUUGCAUCAUGCUUUGAUAUUGAUAUUUAUUGCAUUAUGGGCUGUUAUUACAUGUUAUAUCACAAUACUUAUGCCUAUUCUCUCUUAUUUUACAAGGUUUACAUGAAGAGGGAGAAUGCUGGCAGCUGGAAUUCUGGGCUAGAAAAGGAGCAAAUAUUAGAGACCUAUUCUGCACAACUCCAAAAGUCCUGAAACUCCACGAAAGUUAUUUUUGGAAUUAAUAAAAAAUACUGAGCGAAGAAAAUACCAGAGGGGGGCCACCCACCGUCCACGAGGGUGGGGGGCGCGCCCUACCCCCCUGGGCGCGCCCCCUGCCUCGUUGGCCCCCUGGCAGGCCUCCGAUGCCCAUCUUCUGCUAUAUGAAGUCUUUCACCCUAAAAAAAUCAUAAGCAAGCUUUCGGGAUGAAACACCGCCGCCACGAGGCAGAACCUUGGCGGAACUAAUCUAGGGGUCCGACGGAGCUGUUCUGCCGGGGAAACAUCCCUCCGGGAGAGGGAAAUCAUCAUCAUCAUCAUCACCUUCGAUCCUCUCAUCGGGAGGGGGUCAAUCUCCAUCAACAUCUUCACCAGCACCAUCUCCUCUCAAACCCUAGUUCAUCUCUUGUAUCCAAUCUUUGUCCCAAAACCUCAGAUUGGUACCUGUGGGUUGCUAGUAGUGUUGAUUACUCCUUGUAGUUGAUGCUAGUUGGUUUAUUCGGUGGAAGAUCAUAUGAUCCUAUAUGCAUAUUAAUACCCCUCUAAUUAUGAACAUGAAUAUGAUUUGUGAAUAGUUACAUUUGUUCCUGAGGACAUGGGAGAAGUCUUGCUAUAAGUAGUCAUGUGAAUUUGGUAUUCGUUCGAUAUUUUGAUGAGAUGUAUGUUGUCUCUCCUCUAGUGGUGUUAUGUGAACGUCAACUACAUGACACUUCACCAUUGUUUGGGCCUAGAGGAAGGCAUUGGGAAGUAAUAGGUAGAUGAUGGGUUGCUAGAGUGACAGAAUCUUAAACCCUAGUUUAUGCGUUGCUUCGUAAGGGGCUGAUUUGGAUCCACAUGUUUCAUGCUAUGGUUAGGUUUACCUUAAUACUUAUUUUGUAGUUGCGGAUGCUUGCAAUAGGGGUUAAUCAUAAGUGUGAUGCUUUUCCAAGAAAGGGCAGUACCCAAGUACCGGUCCACCCACAUACCAAAUUAUCAAAGUAACGAACGCGAAUCAUAUGAGCGUGAUGAAAACUAGCUUGACGAUAAUCCCCAUGUGUCAUCGGGAGCGCUUUUCUCUAUAUAAGAACUUGUCCAGGCUUGUCCUUUGCUACAAAAAGGACUGGUCCAUCUUGCUGCACCUUAUUUACUUUUGUUACUUGUUACCUAUUACAAAUUACCUUAUCACAAAACUAUCUGUUACCGAUAAUUUCAGUGCUUGCAGAGAAUACCUUACUGAAACCCGCUUGUCAUUUCCUUCUGGUCCUCAUUGGGUUCGACACUCUUACUUAUCGAAAGGACUACGAUAGAUCCCCUACACUUGUGUGUCAUCAUCGAGGAAGCUCCUGUUAGGAGCAAGAGACAAAGGACUGCAAAGUCUUUUGGUGAUGAUUUCCUCGUGUACCUCGUGGAUGAUGACACUCCCAGUUCCAUUUCAGAAGCUUAUGCAUCUCCGGAUGCUGACUACUGGAAGGAUGCUGUCCAUAGCAAGAUGGAUUCCAUCUUGGCUAACGGUACAUGUGAGAUCACUGAUCGUCCUUAUGCUUGUAAACCAUUGGGAUGUAAGUGGGUGUUCAAUAAGAAGCUUAAGCCCGAUGGUACUGUUGAGAAGUACAAGGCUAGGAUUGUGGCCAAGGGUUAUACCCAGAAAGAAGAAGAGGAUUUCUUCGACACUUACUCACCUGUGGCUAGACUGACAACCAUUCGAGUGUUACUUGCUUUGGAUGCCUCGCAUGAUCUUCUCGUUCACCAGAUGGACGUUAAGACGACUUUCCUUAAUGGAGAGCUCGAUGAGGAAAUUUACAGGCAACAACCAGAUGGCUUUGUAGUAAGUGGUCAGGAAAGAAAGGUGUGCAUGAUAGUGAAAUCCUUGUAUGGCUUGAAACAAGCGCCUAAGCAAUGGCAUGAGAAGUUCAACACUACUCCGACAUCUGCUGGCUUUGUUGUUAAUGAAGUUGGCAAAUGUGUAUACUAUCUCUAUGGUGGGGGCGAAGGAGUUAUACUCUGUCUGUAUGUCGAUGACAUACUGAUAUUUGGGACCCACAUCAAGGUCAUUGAGGAGGUCAAGGCUUUUCUAUCUCAUAACUUUGAGAUGAAAGACCUGAGCAUGGCUGAUGUUAUCUUGAACAUCAAGCUACUAAGAAACUCUAAGGGCGGAAUUACACUUUUGCAAUCCCACUAUGUUGAGAAGAUUUUGAGCCGCUUUGGAUAUUCGGACUGCAAACCUUCUGCAACACCAUAUGAUCCUAGCGUGAGGAUUCGAAAGUUCGAAGGCACGGCUGUAGAUCAAUUGAGAUAUUCUCUAGUGGUUGGUUCACUCAUGUACCUAGCAUGUGCUACUUGUCCUGACAUCUCAUUUGUUGUGUGCAAACUGAGCCGGUUUGUUUCCAAUCCGGGAGAUGUGCAUUGGCAUGCUGUUGAGCGAGUGAUGCGUUACUUGCAAGGUACUGUGAACUAUGAGAUUCACUAUUCUGGGUACUCGACGGUACUUGAGGGCUAUAGUGAUUCGAAUUGGAUAUCUGAUGCUGAUGAGAUGAAAGCCACAAGUGGACAUGUCUUCACACUUGGUGGUGGUGCUAUUUCCUGGAAGUCUUGCAAGUAGACGAGCUUAACCAGAUCCACUAUGGGAGCAGAACUCACAUCAUUAGACACAUCAUGCGUCGAAGCAGAAUGGCUUCGAGAGCUUUUGAUGGAUUUGCCAGUGGUUGAUAGACCAGUGCCGGAUGUCCUUAUGAACCGCGGCAAUCAAACGAUGAAUGCCAAGGCUAAGAGUUCAAAGGACAACAUGAAAUCCACAAAGCACAUAAGAAGAAGAUUGAAAUCUGUCAGAAAAUCAAGAAACUCCAGAGUAAUAGUGUUGGAUUAUAUACAGACGACUAAGAAUCUGGCAGACCCUUUUACAAAAGGAUUGUCACAGAUUGUGAUAGAAAAUACAUCGAGGGAGAUGGGUAUGAGACCCACGUAAGUUGCCAUGGGGGUAACCCAACCUAUAUGAUCGGACAUCCCAUGAAUUAGGACCUGAGAAAACAAUCCAUCGGUCAACUGAGGAGAGUAUCCUUAAUAAACCCACUCCGUUGGAGAUGCAGUACUACUCUCAAUUCUAUAAGGCAGGCUGACUUUUGUCUUAAUGUGUUCCAAAGCUUUUGUAAGCAAGAUGCUAACCUACAGAGCAUUCUUUAGAGGAACACACCUAUGUGAGCCCGACUGCUGGUCAUAGUCUAUGAGAUUGGGUGAUCUCUAGGAAGCUCAUGAGAAGGUGAAAGAAUAUGCGGUGCCCCCAUGUUUGGUUUUGGUAAUUGAUGACAAUCUCUAUGGACUAAUGGUUGUCUUGAGUUAUAUUUGAAGGAUUUGUCCAUAGGCUUUUCCUGAGGGUCCAUUUCUUGGUUUCAAGGAGAGUAUGUGAUGACCAAGGUGCUAUUCAAGGAAUUAUCUAAAGAUUGGUCAUGUGAGAGGUUGAUCAAGACUAAGUCAAAGAGUGAAUCAAGUUGAUCCAGUCACAAAGCGUGGAAGAUGUACUGAGAGGGAUCAAGUGAUCCCAUGGUAUGGUAAGCAUUGUCCAUUAUGCUUUGUGAACUAACCCAUGUUCUAUGUGAGAGUUCUAUGUGGGGUUAGGUAUGUUUCCAUGGGCUUGUGUCAAGAGGAAGAUAUCAUACAAUCCACGGAGAGGAUGACAUCAAGUGGUGAUCGUCAUCAAGAUUGCGGUGUGCAAGUUCAAGUGGAGCAUCAUGAAGAGAUCACGUCCUUGAUGCUUGCCAUCCAUUGUGAUGACAAUGUACUUCUGAAGAUGUGCUAAGGAGUGGCUCAACCAUAGUGGAGUAUGGGGGAGCAAUCUACUAGUCUUCGUCAAGCUAGCACAAUCAAGAAAGGUGGUACAAGUUGAGGAGGUCAAGAUCUUCAUCAUCUAGCUCAAAUGUAUUAUGCACAAGGCAAAGCUAGCGCAAUGAAGAAAGGUGGUACAAGUUGAGGAGGUCAAGACCUUCAUCAUCUAGCUCAAAUGGAUUAUGCACAAGGUAAAGGUUUGUCCUUGAUAGGUUUCUAUUUUACUGGUCUCAUGGUGUUAGUUGGGAGACUGGAUUAUAGGAUCAAUAGCCGUACUAUCAAGGGGGGAUCUCGAGUGGGUAGCUUAUUCGUAUCAUUCGUAGAGAGCUCAAAACUUUGCAUCUUUGGCAUCAUAUUUCUUGGUUCUUGUUUGGCUUUUCUCUUUAUGAGGUUUUAGAGCUUGUUGUUAUCUUCGUGACAAGCUCUAGUUCAUCAAAAACUGAUUUCCUAUGCAUCUUCUUUUGUGUUUUCGGUGUUGGAGUUUUUACCGGUCUUAUUUGAGAAAGGGUUCUCACCAUUUUAUUUUUGGUAUUUAUAAAUUGCUAUUUAUUGAUAUUUCUAUCAAGAUUGUGUUAGCCCUUGUCUUUAUCUUUCCAACAAACUUGGUUUUGUCGAAUUUGGAGUUCGUUUGCAAAAGUUAUGACUGUUUCAUUUUUGGCAGUUCCCGCUUCUCUCUGCCUACUGCGGGUGCCCGGGGUAACCCGAGCCCCUCCAUAGAGACCUCUCUGGCCGGUCCGGGUGCCCGGGGUCUCGGAUCCCCGGGUGCCCGGGGUCACCCGGGCCGCUCCCGAACCUCCUCUGAUCACCCCGGGUGCCCGGGGUCUUGGACCCCCGGGUGCCCGAGCUCCUCUGUCACCUCCUCUCGGCCCCCUCUGGGUGCCAGAGGUUGAGACCCUAGGGUGCCUGCCCCGUGCCCUGUUUCUUUCCAUGUGUGUCCGAGUGGCCGGGUUUUGCCCCCGGGUGCCCGGGGUUGUAUGCUUUAUUCUCUGUUGGGUCCGGGUGCCCGGAACCCGUUUUGUCUAGGUGCCCAGGGUGGCGGCUGUGUGCAACGGCCACAUUUUUCUUGGGGGUAUUUAUACCUUGUUCUUCCACCUUCAACUCUAUUCCUCUUGCAAUCUUUUUCCCCCACCAUUGUUGACCUCUUGGAGCUUGUUAUCCCUCAAUCCCUCCAUGGAUUCUUGCUAGUUUUUUUUGGGGGGGGGGGAGUGAGAGGAGAUCUAGAUACACAUUCCACCAAUCACUUUCUCCUCUAUGUGAGGGUAACCCCUUGUAUCUAGAUCUUGGAGUUCUUGGUUUUCUCCUUCUUGCUCUUCCUCUCAUUUUCCUUCCUAGCAUUAGUUGCUUUGAUGGGAUUUGGGAGAGAAGGACUUGGGCAGUCCGUGUGCCCUUGCCAUUUCAUUUGGUGCAUCGGUUUGAGCUCUCCAUGGUGAUACGUAGAAGUUACAAGUUGAGUGUUGGGGAACGUAGUAAUUUCAAAAAUUUUCCUACGCACACGCAAGAUCAUGGUGAUGUAUAACAACGAGAGAGGGAGUGUAUCUUCAUACCCUUGAAGAUCGCUAAGCGGAAGCGUUUAUCAACGCGAUUGAUGUAGUCGUACGUCUUCACGAUCCGACCGAUCCAAGUACCGAACGCACGGCACCUCCGAGUUCUGCACAUGUUCAGCUCGAUGACGUCCUCGCCUUCUCGAUCCAGCAAGACGGGCAAAGUAGUAGAUGAGUUCCGGCAGCACGACGGUGUGGUGACGGUGUUGGUGAAGAACAAUCUCCGCAGGGCUUCGCCUAAGCACUAUGGAAACUAUGACGGAGGAUAAACUAGAGGGGACGGGGUUGCCGGCAUACGGCUUGGUGUUUCUUGAUGUGUCUUUGGUGCUAGCCCUACCCCUAUAUUUAUAUGUUGAGCCUUGGGGUCGAAACUUGGAGUAAAAGCCUCCACAAAGUCGGUUUCACCCGAAAGGCAAGAGUCCUUCUCGAACUCCAGGGCCAGACGCCAGGGUUCCCGGCGUCUGGACCCAGACGCCAGGGACCCUGCCGUCUGGCCCCUGGACUCCGCAAAACUUCCUUUUGCGCUUUCCAAAAACCUUGUGGGCUUUCCCCUUUGGCCCAAAUAACGUGUUCUCAUUCCCAAACAUUUCGGGAAACAUCCGGAACCCCUUCCGGUGAAUUCCGGAACUCUUCCGGAGAUCGAACACUAUUAUCCCAUAUGUCAAACUUUAUCUCCGGACCAUUCCGGAGUUCCUCGUCAUGUCCAUGAUCUCAUCCGGGACUCCGAACAACAUUCAGUUACCAACAUACAUAACUCAUAUAAUACUAUAUCGUCAACGAAACGUUAAGCAUGCGGACCCUACGGGUUCGAGAACUAUGUAGACAUGACCUAGAACUUGUUUCCGGUCAAUAACCAAUAGCGGGACCUGGAUGCCCAUAUUGGCUCCCACAUAUUCUACGAAGAUCUUUAUCGGUCAAACCGCAUAACAACAUACGUUGUUCCCUUUGUCAUCGGUAUGUUACUUGCCCGAGAUUUGAUCGUCGGUAUCCAAUACCUAGUUCAAUCUCGUUACCGGCAAGUCUCUUUACUCGUUAUGUAAUACAUCAUUCUGUAACUAACUCAUUAGCUACACUGCUUGCAAGGCUUAUAGUGAUGUGCAUUACCGAGAGGGCCCAGAGAUACCUCUCCGACAAUCGGAGUGACAAAACCUAAUCUCGAAAUACGCCAACUCAACAUGUACCUUCGGAGACACCUAUAGUACUCCUUUAUAAUCACCCAGUUACGUUGUGACGUUUGGUAGUACCCAAAGUGUUCCUCUGGUAAAUGGGAGUUGCAUAAUUCUCAUAGUUACAGGAACAUGUAUAAGUCAUGAAGAAAGCAAUAGCAGUAUACUAAACGAUCAAGUGCUAGGCUAACGGAAUGGGUCAUGUCAAUCACAUCAUUCUCCUAAUGAUGUGAUCCCAUUAAUCAAAUGACAACACAUGUCUAUGGUUAGGAAACAUAACCAUCUUUGAUUAAUGAGCUAGUCAAGUAGAGGCAUACUAGUGACUAUAUGUUUGUCUAAGUAUUCACACAUGUAUUAUGUUUCCGGUUAAUACAAUUCUAGCAUGAAUAAUAAACAUUUAUCAUGAUAUAAGGAAAUAAAUAAUAACUUUAUUAUUGCCUCUAGGGCAAAUUUCCUUCAGUCUCCCACUUGCACUAGAGUCAAUAAUCUAGUUCACAUCACCAUGUGAUUUAACAUCAAUAUUCAUAUCUGUAUAUGAUUAACACCUAUAGUUCACAUCGUCAUGUGACCAACACCCAAAGGGUUUACUAGAGUCAAUAAUCUAGUUCACAUCGCUAUGUGAUUAACACCCAAAGAGUACUAAGGUAUGAUCAUGUUUUGCUUGUGAGAGAAGUUUAGUCAACGGACCUGUCAUAUUCAAAGCCGUAUGUAUUUUACAAAAUAUUCUAUGUCCACAAUGCUCUGCAUGGAGCUACUCUAGCUAAUUGCUCCCACUUUCAACAUGUAUCCAGAUUGAGACUUAGAGUCAUCUGGAUCAGUGUAAAAGCUUGCAUCGUUGUAACCUUUUACGACGGGCUCUUUUAUCACCUCCAUAAUCGAGAAACAUCUCCUUAGUCCUCACUAAGGAUAUUCUUGACCGCUGUCCAGUGAUCUACUCUUAGAUCAAAAUUGUAUUCCUUUGUCAAACUCAGAGCAAGGUAUACAAUAGGUCUGGUUCACAGCAUAGCAUACUUUACAGAACCUAUGACUGAGGCAUAGGGAAUGACUUUCUUUUCUAUUUUCUGCCGUGGUCGGGAUUUGAGUCUUACUCAAUUUUACACCUUUGCAACACAGGCAAGAACUCUUUCUUUGACUGUUCCAUUUUGAACUUACUUCAAAAUCUUGACAAGGUAUGUACUUAUUGAAAAACUUAUCAAGCGUCUUGAUCUAUCUCAAUAGAUCUUGAUGCUCAAUAUGUAAGUAGCUUUGCCUAGGUCUUUCUUUGAAAAAACUCCUUUCAAACACUCCUUUAUGCUUUGUAGAAUAAUUCUACAUUAUUUCCGAUCAACAAUAUGUCAUUCACAUAUACUUAUCAGAAAUGUUGUAGUGCUCCCACUCACUUUCUUGUAAAUACAGGCUUCACGACAAGUCUGUAUAAAACUAUAUGCGUUGAUCAACUUAUCAAAGCGUAUAUUCCAACUCUGAGAUGCUUGCACCAGUCCAUAGAUGGAUUGCUGGAGCUUGCACAUUUUUUUAACACCUUUAGGAUCGACAAAACCUUCUGGUUGCAUCAUAUACAACUCUUCUUUAAUAAAUCCAUUAAGGAAUGCAGUUUUGUUUAUCCAUUUGCCAGAUUUCAUAAAAUGCGGCAAUUGCUAACAUGAUUCAGACAGACUUAAGCAUAGAUACGAGUGAAAAAACUCUCAUCGUAGUCCACACCUUGAACUUGUCGAAAACCUUUUGCGACAAUUCUAGCUUUGUAGAUAGUAACACUAUCAACGUCCGUCUUCCUCUUGAAGAUCCAUUUAAUCUCAAUGUCUCGCUGAUCAUUGGGCAAGUCAAUCAAAGUCCAUACUUUGUUUUCAUACAUGGAUCACAUCUCAGAUCUCAAGGCCUCAAGCCAUUUUGCGGAAUCUGGGCUCACCAUUGCUUCUUCAUAGUUCAUAGGUUCGUCAUGGUCUAGUAACAUAAAUUCCAGAACAGGAUUACCGUACAACUCUGGUGCGGAUCUUACUCUGGAAAACCUACGAGGUUCUAUAGUAACUUAAUCUGAAGUUUCAUGAUCAUCAUCAUUAACUUCCUCACUAAUUGGUGUAGUAGUCACAGAAACAGAUUUCUGUGAUGAACUAGUUUCCAAUAAGGGAGCAGGUACAGUUACCUCAUCAAGUUCUACUUUCCUCCCACUCACUUCUUUCGAGAGAAACUCCUUCUCUAGAAAGGAUCCAUUCUUAGCAACGAAUGUUUUGCCUUCGGAUCUGUGAUAGAAGGAGUACCCAACAGUUUCCUUUGGGUAUUCUAUGAAGACGCACUUCUCCGAUUUGGGUUCGAGCUUUAUCAGGUUGAAAACCUUUUUCAUAUAAGCAUCACAACUCCAAACUUUAAGAAACGAUAGCUUAGGUUUACUGCUCAACCAUAGUUCACACGGUGUCGUCUCAACGGAUUUAGAUGGUGCCCUUUUAGCGUGAAUGCAACUGUCUCUAAUGCAUAACCCCAAAACGAUAAUGGUAAAUCAGUAAGAGACAUCAUAGAUCGCACCAUAUCCAAUAAAAUGCGGUUACGACGUUCGGACACACCAUAAUGUUGUGCUGUUCCAGGUGGCGUGAGCUGUGAAACUAUUCCACAUUGUUUUAAUUGAAGACCAAACUCAUAACUCAAAUAUUCGUCUCCGCGAUCAGAUCGCAGAAACUUUAUUUUCU